UAAAGUAAAAUGUGAGUGAUAGG
rnacentral:piRNA from 1 species